rnacentral:RNase_P_RNA from 1 species
CCAGACGGUCGGACGAUCGCGCGUGCAAGGUGGAAACGCCGCACGGGAGGAAAGUCCGGGCUCCACGUCGACACGGCGGCGGGUAACGCCCGCCGGGCGCGGUCUGAAAGGGCCGCGUUCAGGGAAAGCGCCACAGAGAACAGUCUGCCGAAUUCACUUCGGUGAAUGGCGAUGGUGAAACGGUGGGGUAAGAGCCCACCGCCCCGACCGCAAGGAAGGGGGCACGGCAAGCCCCGCCGGGAGCAAGACCGAAUAGGGAUGCGUCUCUCGCAAGAGGGAAGGCCUGUCGCGGGUCGCAUCCGGGUAGGUCGCGAGAACCGCGCAGCGAUGCGCGGUCCAGAGGAAUGAUCGUCACGCGCGCAAGCGCGUACAGAACCCGGCUUACAGACCGUCUGGCAUU